AGAGUUUGAUCCUGGCUCAGGAUGAACGCUAGCGGCAGGCUUAACACAUGCAAGUCGAGGGGCAGCGCUGGGUAGCAAUACCCUGGCGGCGACCGGCGAAAGGGUGAGUAACGCGUGAGCAACGUGCCCGUAUGUGGGGGAUAGUCGAUGGAAACGUCGCGUAAUACCCCAUAACACAUUAUUCUGCAUGGGAUGAUGUUGAAAGAGUUAUUGCAUACGGAUCGGCUCGCGUGCCAUUAGGUAGACGGCGGGGUAACGGCCCACCGUGCCGACGAUGGCUAGGGGUUCUGAGAGGAAGGUCCCCCACAUUGGAACUGAGACACGGUCCAGACUCCUACGGGAGGCAGCAGUGAGGAAUAUUGGACAAUGGCCGGAAGGCUGAUCCAGCCAUGCCGCGUGCGGGAGGACGGCCCUAUGGGUUGUAAACCGCUUUUGCGAGGGAGCAAUAAGGUCUACGUGUAGGCUGAUGAGAGUACCUUACGAAUAAGCAUCGGCUAACUCCGUGCCAGCAGCCGCGGUAAUACGGAGGAUGCAAGCGUUAUCCGGAUUUAUUGGGUUUAAAGGGUGCGUAGGCGGCUUGGUAAGCGGGAGGUGAAAUGCCGGCGCUCAACGUCGGAAGUGCCUCCCGAACUGUCGGGCUUGAAUAGUACUGCCGUGGGAGGAAUGUGUGGUGUAGCGGUGAAAUGCUUAGAGAUCACACAGAACACCGAUUGCGAAGGCAUCUCACGAAGUACCGAUUGACGCUGAGGCACGAAAGCGUGGGGAUCAAACAGGAUUAGAUACCCUGGUAGUCCACGCAGUAAACGAUGAUGGCUAACCGCUGGGGCGUUCGCUUCAGUGGCCAAGCGAAAGCGAUAAGCCAUCCACCUGGGGAGUACGACCGCAAGGUUGAAACUCAAAGGAAUUGACGG
rnacentral:rRNA from 1 species